rnacentral:misc_RNA from 1 species
GUGAGUCAUCGAAUCUUUGAACGCACAUUGCGCCCGCCAGCAUUCUGGCGGGCAUGCCUGUCCGAGCGUCAUUUCAACCCUCAGGGAGCCCCUUCGCGGGGGGGACCUGGUGUUGGGGGCCGGCCGCCCGCGCCGCCCCCGAAAUGCAGUGGCGACCUCGCCGCAGCCUCCCCUGCGUAGUAGCACAACCUCGCACCGGAGCGCGGAGACGGUCACGCCGUAAAACGCCCAACUUUCAAGAGUUGACCUCGGAUCAGGUAGGAAUACCCGCUGAACUUAAGCAUAUCAAUAAGCGGAGGA